UUCCUACGGGAGGCAGCAGUGGGGAAUUUUGGACAAUGGGGGAAACCCUGAUCCAGCAAUGCCGCGUGUGCGAAGAAGGCCUUCGGGUUGUAAAGCACUUUUGUCAGGGAAGAAAUCCUUUGGGCUAAUACCCUAGGGGGAUGACGGUACCCGAAGAAUAAGCACCGGCUAACUACGUGCCAGCAGCCGCGGUAAUACGUAGGGUGCAAGCGUUAAUCGGAAUUACUGGGCGUAAAGCGUGCGCAGGCGGUUGUGUAAGACAGGUGUGAAAUCCCCGGGCUUAACCUGGGAAUUGCAUUUGUGACUGCACGACUAGAGUGUGUCAGAGGGGGGUGGAAUUCCACGUGUAGCAGUGAAAUGCGUAGAUAUGUGGAGGAACACCAAUGGCGAAGGCAGCCCCCUGGGAUAACACUGACGCUCAUGCACGAAAGCGUGGGGAGCAAACAGGAUUAGAUACCCUGGUAGUCCACGCCCUAAACGAUGUCAACUAGUUGUUGGGGAUUUACUUCCUUGGUAACGUAGCUAACGCGUGAAGUUGACCGCCUGGGGAGUACGGCCGCAAGGUUAAAACUCAAAGGAAUUGACGGAA
rnacentral:rRNA from 1 species